ACCACCACCACCACCACCACCACCACCACCACCACCUCUUGGCCACCGAACCACCACCACCCCGCCGCCCCACGCUCAUCCGACGAGCUGUCUCGCCGUUGAGCCCAACGAGUUGUCGCGCCGUUCGCGCCGCCCCUCACCGCCGUGAGCCACCGCCGCCGUACCCAAGCCACUGUCACCACCUCUUGCCACCGCUCUCUCGGCCGUCCGGGCCGUCGUUGCUCAGAACCUCCACUGCCUCCGCCAGAACCGAUCUCUUCCCCCCUUGGCCGUGGGUUGAGCCGCGACCGCCGCCGUCUUCGCCGCGCCGUCCGUGCCGCCGUUGGUGCCGUGAGACUCGUGUCUUCUUCGCCGUCGCGCCGCCGCGUGCUCGCAGUCGCCCAACCUCCCUCGACACCCUCGAAGUUCUUGGGGUUCAUGUGGAAUCCCCUGUCCUGGGUCAUGGAGCUUGCUGCUAUCAUGGCCAUUGCACUUACAAAUGGAGGGGGCAAGCCUCCAGAUUGGCAAGAUUUCAUAGGCAUCGUCACUGUUUAUAAACUCCACUAUUAGCUUUAUCGAGGAGAACAAUGCUGGUAACGCUACGGUUUGAAGAGCUUGCUAAAUCGAUUCUAACCACUGAAGUCGAGGAAACAAAGUGAUAAUCAUAAUAUAGAAGAAGCCAAGAAAUUGACCCAUUAACUUUAUGCUUUAGUUUCUGGGCAUCCCUUAACCGAGUCGUUACUGUACUUUGGAUCAAUUGGUUAGUG